rnacentral:lncRNA from 1 species
AUGUGCGUGGRCUGGGGCUCCCCGGGAUGCAUUGCAAAGUGCCAGAUGAGGCUUGGCGGCUUGGUUCGAGGUGGAGUGCGAUAUACUGGGAGCACUAUUUCUAGCAGACUACAAAAGACCAUCCUUCGAAAAUCAGAUAAGCAGUCAGAGAACCUGUAUGCUCUUCUCCCCCUCCUUUCAGCCCUUGGGUAUGUGACUGGCUCUUUUGCAGAUGUGCAGGAUUUCAAAGGACAGCCAGACAAUCCUGGUAGCCACACUCAGCCCAAAAGCUGCACACUGAAAAUCUCGAGCGCUCUGCACUGUGCCAGUCAAGCCUGCAGCACUGUCAGUGAGGAGAAAGUCAAGGCGGAUUCCAGUACAGCGCUGAUGCGAGUGUGGUGCCCAGCAGCUUGUGGCCGAGGACUGGUGCCGACAACCGUUCACAAUGAAAGGAAAUAGAAGCUGACCUAAAUCCAGGAGGGUGUGUUCACUACUUUGGAAGCUGAGAGAAGAGAAUGAAGCUCAGGGGUGAUGUAGUGAAAUGUGAAGCAAGCUUCCAARAAUUUCAGUAUUUGAAAGAACAAUUUUCUGAAUGGGCAAAAGGAGCUGGCAGAUAGAUAGAAGUAAGAAAUAAAUGAUCUUCCUCUGGGGUGGGUGGGGACA